ACAAGCUUGAUGGUAUUAUCAGACUUGUAGCAAGGCUGUUCUAACAAAUCUGAUAUAGUCAUGAUAUAACAAGAAUGUUAUAAGAUUGACGACACAAGGAUGUAACAACAUUGUUACAUCAUGACUGUAUCGGACUUGUUGGAACAACCUUGGAACAAGUCUGAUAAUAUCAACAAGGUUGUUGCAAGUUGUUAACAGCUUGUUCAAAACUUGUUGACAACUUGGGACGGCUUGUUAGCAAACUUGCUUCUUGACAGACUUACGUGUACACGCGUAAAAACGCCCAAGUUGUAACAAACCUGCAGCAGACUUGCAGCAAUGCUUUUCCAACAACUUGUCAUCAGGAUGUGUUUCACUACUUACCCCUUA